AACAGGAUUAGAUACCCUGGUAGUCCACGCUGUAAACGAUGUCGACUUGGAGGUUGUGCCCUUGAGGCGUGGCUUCCGGAGCUAACGCGUUAAGUCGACCGCCUGGGGAGUACGGCCGCAAGGUUAAAACUCAAAUGAAUUGACGGGGGCCCGCACAAGCGGUGGAGCAUGUGGUUUAAUUCGAUGCAACGCGAAGAACCUUACCUACUCUCGACAUCCAGAGAAUUUGCUAGAGAUAGCUUAGUGCCUUCGGGAACUCUGAGACAGGUGCUGCAUGGCUGUCGUCAGCUCGUGUUGUGAAAUGUUGGGUUAAGUCCCGCAACGAGCGCAACCCUUAUCCUUUGUUGCCAGCGAGUAAUGUCGGGAACUCAAAGGAGACUGCCGGUGAUAAACCGGAGGAAGGUGGGGAUGACGUCAAGUCAUCAUGGCCCUUACGAGUAGGGCUACACACGUGCUACAAUGGCAUAUACAAAGAGAAGCGAACUCGCGAGAGCAAGCGGACCUCAUAAAGUAUGUCGUAGUCCGGAUUGGAGUCUGCAACUCGACUCCAUGAAGUCGGAAUCGCUAGUAAUCGUAGAUCAGAAUGCUACGGUGAAUACGUUCCCGGGCCUUGUACACACCGCCCGUCACACCAUGGGAGUGGGUUGCAAAAGAAGUAGGUAGCUUAACCUUCGGGAGGGCGCUUACCACUUUGUGAUUCAUGACUGGGGUGAAGUCGUAACAAGGUAACC
rnacentral:rRNA from 1 species